rnacentral:piRNA from 1 species
UACCAGAAACACGAUUGGUGCUUUGCAUGGUC